rnacentral:rRNA from 2 species
AGCAUCCGUAGCUCGUUUUGUAAGUUUUCGGUUAAAUCCAUGCGCUUAACGUAUGGGCUGCCGGGAAUACUGCAUAACUAGGAAGUGGGAGAGGUAGACGGUACUCGGUAGGAAGGGGUAAAAUCCUUUGAUCUAUUGAUGACCACCUGUGGCGAAGGCGGUCUACCAGAACACGUUCGACGGUGAGGGAUGAAAGCUGGGGGAGCAAACCGGAUUAGAUACCCGGGUAGUCCCAGCUGUAAACUAUGCAAACUCAGUGAUGCAUUGGCUUGUGGCCAAUGCAGUGCUGCAGGGAAGCCGUUAAGUUUGCCGCCUGGGAAGUACGUACGCAAGUAUGAAACUUAAAGGAAUUGGCGGGGGAGCACAAGC